rnacentral:rRNA from 1 species
GACGAACGCUGGCGGCGUGGAUUAGGCAUGCAAGUCGGACGGUAGGGCUUUAUCGUAAGAUAGAGUUUGAGAGUGGCGAACGGGUGAGUAACACGUAGGAAUCUACCCUUAAGACGGGGACAACCCAGGGAAACUUGGGCUAAUACCGGAUGAGAGUGCGAGAGAUUGCAUUUAAAAGGAUGGCGAAAGUUGUCGCUUAGGGAUGAGCCUGCGGUCUAUUAGUUAGUUGGUGAGGUAAGAGCUCACCAAGGCGAUGAUAGAUAGGCGGCCUUAACGGGUGGUCGCCCACACUGGGAUUGAGAUACGGCCCAGACUCCUACGGGAGGCAGCAGUUGGGAAUCUUAGGCAAUGGACGAAAGUCUGACCUAGCGACGCCGCGUGAGGGAAGAAGGCCUUCGGGUUGUAAACCUCUGUCAUGGGGAAGAAGUAAGUGACGGUACCCAAGAGGAAGCCCUGCUAACUACGUG